CUCAUUGCUUGCCCUUUUACUUAUGAGUUGCCAGGUGCAACUACUUGCAAGAUAAAUUAAUUUAUUUUGCUACUUUAUUUAGUUUUCUCAUAAAACUCCUUUUUCGUAAAAGUAGAAUAUUAUUAUAAUUAGUAGGCUUCACCAAACCCAACCGUCUAAUGUUUUUCUUUUUCCAAUCUAAGUCUUGUUUCUCUAAUAAAGCAUGAUAUACGUAGGAGGCGGGCCGAGGUAGCUUGGGACACCCACUGCUGCACAAUGCUUGAAAAAGUGCUGAGAGGGUGUUCUUCCCCAGAUAUUCAGCACACU
rnacentral:lncRNA from 1 species